UAGGGAAUCUUCGGCAAUGGACGGAAGUCUGACCGAGCAACGCCGCGUGAGUGAAGAAGGUUUUCGGAUCGUAAAGCUCUGUUGUAAGAGAAGAACGAGUGUGAGAGUGGAAAGUUCACACUGUGACGGUAUCUUACCAGAAAGGGACGGCUAACUACGUGCCAGCAGCCGCGGUAAUACGUAGGUCCCGAGCGUUGUCCGGAUUUAUUGGGCGUAAAGCGAGCGCAGGCGGUUAGAUAAGUCUGAAGUUAAAGGCUGUGGCUUAACCAUAGUACGCUUUGGAAACUGUUUAACUUGAGUGCAAGAGGGGAGAGUGGAAUUCCAUGUGUAGCGGUGAAAUGCGUAGAUAUAUGGAGGAACACCGGUGGCGAAAGCGGCUCUCUGGCUUGUAACUGGCGCUGAGGCUCGAAAGCGUGGGGAGCAAACAGGAUUAGAUACCCUGGUAGUCCACGCCGUAAACGAUGAGUGCUAGGUGUUAGACCCUUUCCGGGGUUUAGUGCCGCAGCUAACGCAUUAAGCACUCCGCCUGGGGAGUACGACCGCAAGGUUG
rnacentral:rRNA from 1 species